GAGAGAGAGCGAGGGUUUGUUAGAGAGAGAGAGAGAGAGAGAGAGAGAGAGAGAGAGAGAGAGAGAGAGAGAGAGAGAGAGUUUUCGGCGUUCCUCCACCUUCAAACUACUGCAUCGCCGUCGUCUUCAUUGACUCUGGAGAAGGCAAGCCCAGGUCCUGCGGCUCCGACAAAGAUGUCGUCUAAAAUCGCCAUCGCUGGAUUUUUGAAGCUCCAACUUACCACCACUUCCAAGAUCUGCACCCAAUCAACCAGAAUUUCAGGUAUAUUGUGCAUGCAAUUCAUAGAAACAAGAAUAUAGUAAAAUUAGAUCGAAUCUGCUCCGCAUGUAUAUCCUCACCUUUUUUCAAAAUUUGUUACGAAUACUCUCUGAUGUACAAAUAGUUUUCAUGGAACUGCCAUUCUAUUUUUCGAGUGCCAUAACACCCAGAUUUCAGCUUCCAAUAUGUAGUGAUGUGAUUAAAUUUGCUGGACUUAUAUUUACUCUAAUAUGGGGAAUAGAGCUCAAUUCUUGAAUUGGUAUUUUGACUGAUAAUUUGUUUUUUGUGUAAAUGAAGAGUGAGUUUACUUCAAUCCAGCUGCUAAAAAACUAACAUUAGAUAUGUAGAAAUCAGAACUAUUUUGCUUUAAUUUCUUACCAACCGAAUGGAAGUUUAGUUUUCCCUAUUACCAAAUUAGUGACAUCUGUGAAUUCCAGGUUGGCAAAGCAGGUGGAGAGAAGUGGAAGCCUAUGUCUGAAUCUGUAAGAUUUCUACUGAUAUUUACGUAGUUAAGGAAACAGGAAAGCUUGCCUUGUUACGAUUGGAUAAAGAAUUGAAAUGGAGAUUUGCACCUAAUCAUUAGUUAAUUUUAUACUUUCUUCUUGUUCUUUUAAGUUCCUAUUUUUCAUGCAUUUUGUUCCAUUCUUUUAGUACUUUGACUUUACUUUCAGAUUGUUGGAUUUUUGUAGUUUAUUGCGAUGAUUUUGAAAGCUGAAGCUUAAGUGGAGCUCCGAAGUUUAUUGGAAAGAUUUUGGAUAUGUUUUAUGUUCACUUUUUCAAGCUUUGGAUAUUAGACAUGGUCUUUAUUAAGUGUUUUUUGGAAUCCUGGUUAGUAUGAAUCACUAGGCAGAUUAAAAAGUUAUUAGCCGUAUUUGUACAUAAUCGCAUUUUGUUGGGUUACUUGGUAGGAAUUGUUGAUGGUGUUGAUUAUCCCUUAUUAGUUCAAUACAUUCUCACCGGUAUCAUUCCUUUUGCAAGGCUGAUUAGGAACUCAUGAGUUGUCGUUAUUAGAUCCAUCCGUUUUUUGGUGUGGCUGAUCGUAAGCGUGUAUUCCCUAAUUCCUUCUGGGAAUUUGGAGUAGGAGAGGCUUGCUUUUGACUGGUUUUACGAAAUUUUACUUGGUAUAUAUCUUUUGGUUGAAUUUAAAUUCUUAUAAUGUGAUUGGUGACGAAAUUUUCCUUGCAAAGAUGGAUUUUUUGUAAUGCAUUGUCAAUUUUGGAUUGUAUCUCUGUUGAUGUACCAGUUUCUCAAGGAAGUGUGAAGCCAAUAAUGGCUCAUUUUCUAGGGACACAUUGAUAUAACAACUUCCAAUGGGCCUUUUUUUAAAAAAAGUUUUACUCAUUAGUCGGGCUAAUCUCUGUCUUGUCUAUUUCUUUCUUUUUCUUUGAAAGAUGUGUUCAUUGUGUGGUGAUCAAUAGAAUUAAUUGGAAGAUUGAACUGUGGAAUUGAAACUCCAUUCUAGAAUGAGAAAUCUAUGCAUUCACGGAGAUUAUAGUGCUUGAAUACACUGAAUGAAUACUAUUUCCUACCUUCCAGGUACAUGUAGUGUCAUCAACCGUGCACAUGUGAAUAGCACUAUAAGUUCAGUUUAGUAAAUGAACUUAAAUUGCUUAUAGCAAUGAUCGGUUUUAUGGGGAAGAUUACGCAGUUUAUUAGUGAUGUUCUUCUAAAAGGAUGGUAAAAUUGUCGAACGAUGAUCUGUAAUUGUAUGGUUUUUCCUAGAAUUACAGCUGUAUGUGGUCUAACUGGAAAAACAACUGCACACCAUAUUGAAAUUGAGUGACCCUAAAUUAAAAUUUAAUUGGAAUUCGUUGUUGUUCUGUUGCUUCAAUGGCUCCAGUUGAAGUAAAACUACAAAGACCUAGCAUAGAAGUUAUAUCCAUACCUAUCUGUGCAUGGUAAAGCAUAAAUAGAAUGUUGCAUUUUAAUGUGAAUUUGCUAUUUGCAUGCUUUGGAACUUUAAGACCAUAGUUACCCCACAAUAGUUUUUGCAGCCUUGAGAGUCAGAGUCCUUGGCCUGAUUCAAGUAGAUCUGAGCCUCAACCCCUACAUGUGAAUCAGAGUCUUUGGUUCAUUUUUUUUGCAUAGUUUUCAGAAAAAGAUGGUCACUGUUUGGAGUAAAAUCACGACAUUUCGAGUCUUGCAAGGACAUAGGAUACAUGUACAUUUAGUAAGAAACAAGGAGGUAGCACAGUGAACAAUGUACUACAAAGACUAAAAUUUAGAAUUACAAAUGAAAACUUACGCAGAUGUAUCUAGCAAAACUGUACUGUUUUGGUAGAACUAUAUUAAUAUAUGUUCAAGUGUGUUGGCCUUUUGUACUAUUUUACUUCAUUCUGUGCUUUUGGUCUAAGCUACUACUUAAGUACUCCUAAUUUAGCUAACAGCAAUCAAUUAUUCUUCUAUCAUAUUAUUGUUUGAUAAUUUACCCCAAAUUUUGAUUCUUUUCUUUAAAAUCAAUACAUGCUACAUUCCAGAUCCAAUUCCAGGCAUAUCCAGUAGCGGAACAUAUAGAUUGAGAUCGAGAAGCAUAAAAACCAGAAACAGAAAUAGACUCAAUGGAAAUAACAUAGAGAUAUGCAUCUAGAAGCUCUGCAUCGCGAUCUUGAAUUGCUGGUACUAGCAUUCGACCUGGGAGGGAGGUUACUACUUCAAAGUGGUCAAUCGGCUCUGCCUUCACCUUUGUGGCUUUACCAAAAUCUCCAAUGAAAGAACCCGGAGCUGCUUGCUCGGAUGCUUCCCGUGCUACGGGUGCUUCAGGGUCUCUAUCUUGAGAAACUGCCUCUUUAAUAGGCUCUGGAAUGGGUCUUGUGUACUACAACCCUUGCUGUUUACUCUGCUGUUAGUGGUGCUUCCAUUCUGGCGCAGGAUUGGGAUAUUAAUCCUUUGGCAAUUGUAUAAAAAAAACCCUGUAGUCGAAGUCAUGCAAUUAGCUGAAUAACUUCACACCUUUUGUUCAAGGCAAAAGCUUAUCUAGACCAUAACUUCUACAACUAGGAACUUCUGAUGAUACACUUGAUCAAACUUAUCCAUAUAACCUUUGCUAUGAUCAACAAGAACCAUAAUUGAAAGAAA